AGUAACACGUGGGCAACCAACCCCUCACAUCGGGAUACCCCGGGGAAACUCGGAUCAAUACCGGAUAAUGCGCGACGCUGUUGGGCGUCGCACCAAAGGUAGCUUCGGCCUCUGGUGAGGGACGGGCCCGCGGCCCAUUAGCUUGUUGGUGGGGUAAUGGCCUACCAAGGCAACGAUGGGUAGCUGGUCUGAGAGGAUGAUCAGCCACACUGGGACUGAGAUACGGCCCAG
rnacentral:rRNA from 1 species